rnacentral:rRNA from 1 species
UACAUGGGGUGCAAACGUUGCUCGGAAUUAUUGGGCGUAAAGCGCGCGUAGGCGGUUACUCAAGUCGGAUGUGAAAGCCCUCGGCUUAACUGAGGAAGUGCACCCGAAACUGAGUAGCUAGAGUACUAAAGAGGGUCGCGGAAUUCCCGGUGUAGAGGUGAAAUUCGUAGAUAUCAGGAGGAACACCGGUGGCGAAGGCGGGUCUCUGGGCCGAUACUGACGCUGAGGAGCGAAAGCGUGGGGAGCGAACAGG